GAUUGCCUCAGUAACGGCGAGUGAAGCGGCAACAGCUCAAAUUUGAAAUCUGGCGCAAGCCCGAGUUGUAAUUUGCAGAGGAUGCUUCGGGGCGGCUCUCGGCCCAAGUUCCUUGGAACAGGACGUCGCAGAGGGUGAGAAUCCCGUACGCGGCCCGGCGCCAACCCGUGUGAAGCUCCUUCGACGAGUCGAGUUGUUUGGGAAUGCAGCUCUAAAUGGGAGGUAAAUUUCUUCUAAGGCUAAAUACCGGCCAGAGACCGAUAGCGCACAAGUAGAGUGAUCGAAAGAUGAAAAGCACUUUGGAAAGAGAGUUAAACAGUACGUGAAAUUGUUGAAAGGGAAGCGUUUGCAGCCAGACUCGACGACGUUGCUCAGCCGGUCUUUGCCCGGUGCACUCUUCGUUCGUCGGGCCAGCAUCAGUUUGGGCGGCCGGAUAAAGGCCCGGGGAACGUGGCUCCUCUGGAGUGUUAUAGCCCCGGGCACAAUGCGGCCCGCCCGGACUGAGGACGGCGUCCGCUCGGAUGCUGGCGUAAUGGCGGCCAACGGCCCGUCUUGAAACACGGACCAAGGAGUCUAACAUCUAUGCGAGUGUCUGGGUGUCAAACCCGCACGCGUAAUGAAAGUGAACGGAGGUGGGAACUUUUUGCGCACCAUCGACCGAUCCUGAUGUCUUCGGAAGGAUUUGAGUAAGAGCAUAGCUGUUGGGACCCGAAAGAUGGUGAACUAUGCCUGGAUAGGGUGAAGCCAGAGGAAACUCUGGUGGAGGCUCGCAGCGGUUCUGACGUGCAAAUCGAUCGUCAAAUUUGGGUAUAGG
rnacentral:rRNA from 1 species